rnacentral:lncRNA from 1 species
UCAUAUUGAUGAUCUAUUUGACCAGUUUCAGGGCACACAUGUGUUUUCUAAGAUUGAUUUUCCCUCAGGUUAUCAUCAGUUAAAGAUUCGAGGGCCGGAUACCCCAGAGAUUGCUUUCAGGACUCGGUAUGGUUAUUACGAGUUCCUUGUCAUGUCCUUUAGAUUGUCAAACGCCCCAACUGUUUUAUGCAUUUGAUGCACAGUGUAUUCAGGCCCUAUCUUGAUGCAUUUUGUCAUUGUUUUCAUAGAUGAUAUCCUUGUAUUCUCCCUGGAGUCGGGAAGAUCAUGAGCGGCUCCUGAGGACAGUGCUUCAGACCCUGAGAGGAAAGACAUUAUAUGCAAAGUUCUCAAAAUGUGAGUUUUGGUUGAGUUCUGUGGCGUUCCUAGGCCACGUGGUAUCGAGUGAGGGCAUUCGGGUAGAUCCGAAGAAGGUUGAGGCCGUGCACAGUUGGCCCAGGCCCUCCCCAGCUAUGGAGAUUUGUAGUUUCCUUAGCCUGGCGGGGUAUUAUCUUCAUUUUAUUGAGGGUUUCUUAUUGAUUGCAGCCCCUAUGACUAGAUUCGCCCAGAAGGGUGCUCAUUUUCAGUGGUCAGACGAGUGUGAGGCGAGCUUCCAAAAGCUCAAGACGGCUUUGACUUCAUCUCCUAUUCUGAUUUUGCCUACUAGUUCGGGGUCCUAUACGGUUUAUUGUGAUGCCUCAUGAGUUGGACUUGGAGUGGUGUUGAUGCAGGAUGGUAGGGUGAUUGCCUAUGCUUCCAGACAGUUGAAGGUACAAGUUAUAUUGUGAUGUCACGAGUUAGACUUGGAUUGGUAUUGAUGCAGGACAGUAGGGUGGUUGCCUACUUGUCCAGACAGUUAAAGGUACAUGAAAAGAACUGUCAUGUCCAUAACCUUGAGUUAGCUGCAAUUGUUCACGCCUUGAAGAUCUGGCAUCAUUAUUUGUAUGAUGUGCCUUGUGAGAUUUAUACGGAUCGUCGGAGUUUACAGCUCUUGUUCAAGCAGAAGGAUCUGAACUUGCGCCAGAGAAGAUGGUUGGAGCUACUGAAGGAUUAUGUUAUUACUAUUCUUUAUCAUACAAGCAAGGCCAAUGUGGUAGCCGAUGCCUUGAGUCGCCGGGCCGAGAGUUUGGGGAGUUUGGCAUAUCGACCAGCUUCAGAGAGAUAUAUUAAUAUUCUUUAUCACCCGGCAAGGCCAAUGUGGUAGCUGAUGACUUGAGUCACCGGGCAAAAUGUUAGGGGCGUUUGGCAUAUUUACCAGCUUCAAGGAGACACAUAUCGAUGGAUGUUCAUGCUUUAGCCAGUCAAUUUUUGAGACUGGACCUUUCGAAGCCCAGCCGGGUUCUAGCCUAUGUGGUUUCUCGGUCUUUAUUGUUUGAUCAUAUCAGGUAGCGGCAGUAUGAUGACCCUCAUUUGCUUGUCCUCAGGUACAUAGUUCAGCACUACGAUGCUAAGGAUGUGACUAUUGGAGACGGGGUAUUGAGGAUGCAGGGGCGGAUCUGUGUGCCCGAUGUUGAUGAUAUUCAAUAGUUUAUAUUGACCGAGGCCCAUAGCUCGUUGCACUUCAUCCAUUCGGGUGCCGCAAAGAUGUAUCAGGAUUUGAGGCAACAUUACUGGUGGAGGCAGAUGAAGAAAGACACAGUAGAAUUUGUAGCUAGAUACCUCAAUUAUCAGCAGGUAAAGGCUGAGCACCAGAGACCGGGAGGGUUACUCUAGCAGAUGGAGAUUCCCGAGUGGAAAUGGAAAAGGAUUACUAUGUAUUUCGUGACUGGUCUCCCUCUGACGGGGAGGAAAUUUUAUUCUAUUUGGGUUGUUGUGGAUCGGCUGACCAAGUCCGCUUAUUUUAUUCCAGUGUUUACUUCUUACUCAGCAGAGCAGUUAGUAGGGAUGUCAGGGAGAUUGUCCGUCUGCAUAGCAUUCCAGUUUCUAUCAUCUCAGAUAGGGGUUCAGAGUUUACAUCAUGGUUCUAGGGAGCCGUCCAGCAUGAGUUGGGAAACGGGUGACCAUGAGUACAACUUUUCACACUCAGAUGGACGGACAGUUUGAGUGCACUAUUCUAAUUCUUGAGGAUAUGCUCUGUGCGUGCGCAAUUGAGCUUAGAGGGUCUUGGGAUCAGUUCUUGCCAUUGGCUGAGUUUGCGUACAACAACAGUUAUCAGUCCAGUAUUCAACUGGCGUUGUAUGAGGCCUUAUAUGGUAGGAGAUACAGGUCCCCGGUGGGUUGGUUCGAGCCAGGUGAGGCCAGGCUAUUGGUCACUAAUUUGGUUCAGGAUGCGGUUGAGAAGGUUAAGGUGAUUCAGGAUAGACUCUGUUCGGCGCAGUCUAGACAGAAGACUUACAUGGACCGGAAGGUUCGUGAUAUUUUCUUUAUGGUUGGUGAGCGGGUUUUGCUUCAGUUCUCGCCUAUGAAAGGCGUCAUAAGAUUUGGAAAGAAAGGGAAGUUGAGCCUGAGGUUCGUUGGUCCAUUUGAGCUUUUGAAGCAGGUUAGGAAGGUUACUUAUGAGCUUGCUUUACCGCCCAGUUUGGUCGGGGUUCAUCCAGUAUUUCAUGUUUCGAUGCUUCUGAGUUAUCACGGUGACCCGUCUCACGUGUUGGAGUUCACUUCAGUCCAGUUGGACAAUGACUUCUCCUAUGUUGAAGAGCUAGUGGCAAUAUUAGAUAGGGAGGUCCGAAAGCUCAGGUCAAAGGAUAUAGCUUCAGUAAAGGUUCUGUGGCGGGGUCAGCCGGUCAAGGAGGCGACGGAGCUAGUGGCAAUAUAAGAUAGGCAGCUCCGAAAGCUCAUGUCAAAGGAUAUAGCUUCAGUAACGGUUCACUGGGUCAGCCGGACAAGGAGGGGACUUGGGAGACCAAGUGGGAUAUGCGUACGAUACCUUCGUCUUUUUGCUACUUCAGGUAUGUUCUAUAUGCUCAUUCGAGGAUGAACGAAUGUUUUAAGUGUAGGAGAAUGUGACGACCCGACCGGUCAUCUUUGGAAUUUAAGCCCCAUUUUUCCAUUAACUACUUCCCCUAAGUUCAUUUAUGCUAUUUUUGUUCGUCGGGAUGUUUGGUAAUGGAGUUCGGAGUGUUUUGGGACAUUUAGUCCCUAAAUGAGAGCUUAAGUGUUGGAAAAUGGUCCGUAAUCAGAAGAGUGUGAAGACGACCUCAAAAUGGAAAUUCAAUGGUUUUGUUAGCUCCGUUAGGUGAAUUUGGGGUUGGGAGCGUGUUCGAAAUGUAUUUUGGAUGUCCGUAGCUCAUUUAGCCUAGAAAUGCUGAAAGUUAGAAUUUUGAAGUUUUCGGUCCGAUAGUGAAUUUUGAUCCGAGGGUCGGAAUGUGAUUUUUGAAGUAUUUGUAGCACUAUCAUGUCAUUUGGGAUGUGCGUGCAAAAUUUCAGGUCAAUCGGAUGUUGUUUGGUUAGGUUUUGAAUCAAAAGCGAGUUUGGUUAAGUUUUGAGGUUUUUAAGUUCAAAUCAUCGAUUAAUUCGAGUUUUCGGCGUUGCUUUAGAUGGUUUAUGGAUUGGUACAGGUUUGAACUAUAAUAUGGGAUAUGUCUGUAGGUUUUUUUGGGGUGCUGAGGCCUCGGGUGUGUUUCGGAUGCUCAACGGAGCAAUUUUGAACCUUUGAGUGUUGCAGAAAUUCACUCAGCAGUUGAAGGCCCUUUUCUUCUCUGUGAUCGCAUCUGUGCCCAUGCGAUCGCAUAGUGCUUUUUUUGGGGGGACUUAAUUCCUUCAAUGCGAUUGCAGAAUUCUUCAUGCAAUAGCAUAGUUCUGUCUCCCCCUUCUUCGCGUUCGCACUCUUUUUUAUGUGUUUGCACCGAGUAAUCUAGGCUGGUGCCUCAGGGCCUAAUUUCUGCUACGCGAUCACAGAUACCAUGUUGAGAUCGCAUAUUUCCAGCUUUUUCCCAUAUGUAAUCGCAGGACCUGCCCUGCGUUCGCAUAGGCCAAACUUCUGGGCCUUCACAUUGUACACUACGCUAUCACAUCUCCCUUCAUACUAUCACAUUGAACAAAGUAUCAAAACAGUUAUAAACUUUUCAAAAACGAGGGUUCUUCCAUUUUUAUCAAACUCAAGCUAGAGAGCUCGAGGGAGUUUUAGAGGCAACUAUGGGUAAUGAUUCCUUACUCCUCUAUGACUAAAACCCACUAAUCUAAUCAUGAUUUCAACCUUUAAUUUCAUAUUUUUAAAUGAAAAUUGUGGUAAAGUUCUUAGACCUAAUUGUGAGGAUUUGAAGGGGCAUUUGAUUUGGAAGAUUUUCAUAUGGUUAGACUCAUCAGAGUACGAGGUUUCUGAAAAUGAGAAAAUUAUUCGAUUCCAAGAUGUUGGCUUGAGGGGCAUUUUUGUUAUUUUACCUAUUUUUGCACCUUAGCUUUAAUUUUAUCAGUGGAAUUAGUUACUUGCGAUGUUAUUUAUAAUAUGUAAUAUUGGGGCCACUCGGAGUCGGAUACUCAUGGCAAGAGCCUUGUUUCUUAGCGAUUUUGGUAUCGGUUCGAGCUAAGUGGCUUGUUUAACUUUGUGUGGGGGACCUCUCCCCUUAGGGUAUCUAUGAAAUUGUUUUAAUGCCUUGUGCGCGGGGUGACGAGCAUGUACUUGUGCUAGUUGGUGAAAAUUCACCUCACUUGGCUUAUUUAAUCUGUGUUUCUUCACAUAUUUAACUGAUAAAAAAUGCAAUUUCACUUGUUUUAGCUUAGGGAAAGCAUGUUAGUAACUUAUUUGCUCUAUUUAACUAAAUUGAAUUAUCUGUCUUUCUUGUGAAGCAUGCUAGACUCUAGAUUUUACUUGUUGUCAUCGCUUAGUUUCUUUUAGUUAAAUAUUGAUUUGUUGUGAUGUGUUUACUUUUGGGACACCGGGACGCUAUCCCGGAGGUCCCCUUGUUCAUAUUUUGUUCCGAGAUUUGGAAGUGCGGGAUAACAAGAGAUCCCCGGCACAUGAUUGAUUAUUUGGCGGAUACUAAGAGAUCCACUGCUCAAGAUUAAUUAACUGGCAGAUACUAAGAGAUCCCCAUCACAACACUGAUUAACUGGAGGAUACUAAGAGAUCCUCGAGAUACUUGGAGAUCCCUUGUGUAUAUCAGUAGGAUACUAGUAGAUCCUCGGGAUACUUUGAGAUCUCUCGUGUAUAUGAUUAGGAUACCAGGAGAUCAUCGGGAUACCAGGAGAUCCCCGACGAUAUAUAGUGGUAGUGGUUGUUCUUGUAUUUGUAGAUUAUAGUUGUAGUUGUAGCCUAUUUCCGUUACUCAUUAUUCUGCUAGAUACUCUAGGUUUACUGUAUUUUUGACUGUUUAUCCAUUUCAUAUUUAUUUUUAUAUUUAUCUCAGUAGGGCCUCGACCUUCCUCGUCACUACCCCACCGAGGUUAGGCUUGGCACUUACUGAGUACCGGUGUGGUGUACUCAUGCUACUCUCGUGCACACUUUUUAAUAUAGAUCCAGGUACAUCCGAGCAGGCAUAUCGCCAACAGCUGUCAGGGAGCAUCAUUGGAGACUUAUGGUAUAUAUCUGCUACGUCCGCAGAUCUGCAAAGUCUCCUUCUUAUUCCAUCCCCAUUUAUUAGCUAUUAUUUCAAUUCCUCUCUUUGUAUUAGACAAAUUCUAGUGACUAGAGUAGUGUUAGACUUCUUGCAUCCUGUGUUGCCCGUGGGAUUCCGGGUUUUGGGAUGUUACUUUCAGGAGUUGUGUAUUUAGUGUAUGUGCCCAACAGCAUCGUUAUACAUUUCCUUUUGUAUUUAGUGUUUGCUUACGGUUUUUAUCUUGAACUGUUAAAUUUCGCAAUGUGUUAGGAUUACCUAGUCGCAAAGACUUGGUGCUAUCAUGACAGGUUUACGAUUGGUGAACCAAGGUCGUGACAUCUUCUACCUGUACAAUAUCUAUACUACCCUUUCUUUUGUUUGAAAUUACUAUUCUUAAUAAAACUAUCUUUUUCCAUACCUAACGGCCUCUAUUUACCACAUGAAAUCACUUACUUUAAUUAACUAUACUAAAUCCCUUACCCUUAGCUAAGAUCAAACUAAAGUUAACUAAAAAGAGAUAUGUACUCAUCUAUAACCAACCAGGUCCACAAUUCUAAGAUAGAAUAUCAACACUUAAUCAACCUACAAAUUAAUCCUAAUGCAUACUUCCCCAAGCCAUUAAUAAAACGAAAGUAACCCUCAACAGUAGAAUAGACUAAACUAACAAACUAAACACAGAAUCAUCAAACAACAAAGAAGAAAUAAACAGAAAAAGAAGAAUAGAAUAAUUCAAAACAGGAAACAAACACGAAUUAAACUAAUAUUAAUACUACUGAAUUCAAACUAAUAUCUAAUGUUAUUUAUGAACGACAUUAGGUAUGAUCGAUAAAUAACUAAUCCGACUAGCUAAUAAACCUACAAUAAAUCAAGGCCUAAGUCCUAUUAUUAACUAAUGUAGGCUGAACUAAAUGAAGAAAUUGAAAUGAAAUUCGACUAGUAUGACGGGAUUAAAUUCAAGCGGGCAUGAAAUAUGAACGACUUCCAGAAAUCAACCAAAUUGAACGGAGAAGAAGAAGAAGAAGGAAAUAUUAAACUAUACUAAUAGAAAUCAAAUUAGAACAUUAAACAAAACUUACUGUAAGAAACACUCGACCAAACAAAUCUCCCCAAAAUAGUAUUCUGCAUGAACCCUAGAUCCGAAAAGCCCUGGGCAGUAGUAAUAUUCAAGGGGUUUCAAUCGAGGAUUUGACAUGAGGAAUUUUAGGGGACUAUCUGAUAUCGAUUUGGGAUCAUUUGGACGAGUUUGUGUUUUGGACCCGAGUUUCAGAGACAUAUCCGAGGAGUCUGGAUUUGAUUCGAGGGAAUAUGAUAGGGUAUUCCUGAUGAGGUAGAAGAGAGGGAGAUGUGGUGUGAAUUUGAGAGCGAUUGGAGGCGGCGCCGCCACCGACAACUUUAGAGUUUUGGGGCGGCGCCAUUAGGGUUUGUGAGAGGAGAGGUGGGGUGUUGAAGAUGACUGGUAAUAGGGGUGUGGGG